rnacentral:rRNA from 1 species
UACAGAGGGGGCAAGCGUUGUUCGGAAUUACAGGGCGUAAAGGGCGCGUAGGCGGCCUUCUAAGUCAGACGUGAAAUCCCUCGGCUCAACCGGGGAACUGCGUCUGAGACUGGAAGGCUUGAAUCCGGGAGAGGGAUGUGGAAUUCCAGGUGUAGCGGUGAAAUGCGUAGAUAUCUGGAGGAACACCGGUGGCGAAGGCGGCAUCCUGGACCGGUAUUGACGCUGAGGCACGAAAGCGUGGGGAGCAAACAGG